rnacentral:tRNA from 1 species
CCGCGCGCUGCCCGAGCUGCGCGGGCGGCUGGUUGCCAACCAGCCGAUGGCCGAGCUGACCUGGUUCCGGGUCGGCGGGCCGGC